rnacentral:rRNA from 1 species
CAUUCACGGAGAGUUUGAUCCUGGCUCAGGACGAACGCUGGCGGCGUGCUUAACACAUGCAAGUCGAACGAUGAAGCCUUUCGGGGUGGAUUAGUGGCGAACGGGUGAGUAACACGUGGGCAAUCUGCCCUUCACUCUGGGACAAGCCCUGGAAACGGGGUCUAAUACCGGAUAACACUCUGUCCCGCAUGGGACGGGGUUAAAAGCUCCGGCGGUGAAGGAUGAGCCCGCGGCCUAUCAGCUUGUUGGUGGGGUGAUGGCCUACCAAGGCGACGACGGGUAGCCGGCCUGAGAGGGCGACCGGCCACACUGGGACUGAGACACGGCCCAGACUCCUACGGGAGGCAGCAGUGGGGAAUAUUGCACAAUGGGCGAAAGCCUGAUGCAGCGACG